rnacentral:lncRNA from 1 species
AUUAUAGUUGAUUUACAGUGUUCUGUCAAUUUCUACUAUAUAGCAAAGUGACCCAAUCACGCAUAUACAUAUAUUCUUUUUCUCACAUUAUCCUCCAUAUGCUCCCUCUCAGGGAUUAUCCUCUAAGCAGGAAGCCAAUCUGGAUUUGUAGCAUGUGCUGAUGUUCAUAAUGUGAAUUCUCUCACCGUAGCCCCCCACUGCAACCCAUUUUGAGCUAAUGACAUGCUCUCUUGGGAUGCAAAGUUGGGAAGAGUUGUACCUGGUCAGCUCUGCAGCCAGCUCCAGCCCACCACCGUUCUGGCCCCUCCUUUUUCUGGUAGGAGGUAGGAUAUGGGAAGAGGCAAUUGCUACAGUUAAACAACCCUAACCAGGUUUUGUAUUUUCUAUAAGAAACAUCUAAGUUUUGGUUAUUGCCCAUACAGUUUUAAUUAUCCUUCAUUGGGUCCAUCUGUCUCUGUAUCUACCACGAAGGAGGUAAAGAUGAGAUAGAAGAGAUAUUGUGUUUGGUGCUAUAAAAAACACACACAGCUAUGAUAACAUUUAUAACAAUAUGUUUCUGAAAAAAAUGAGAGAUAAGUAAGAAUGUUUACUUUUCAUUGACUAAUAGCAGGAUUUAGUCUAUUAAAGGUGACAGCUGAACACCAUUUACUUUUCUACUGAACUCACUGUAAUCUAUGAAAAGUGUUUCUGACAUAGCCUUUUCUUCCUCUUUGAAAUGCUUGAUUCCCAGUGAGUUAAAUAUUUAGCUACCCACCUGUUAUUUAUUAUUUUUGUUUACAGAAAACCAUGAGGGCACAGAACACAUAAAAGGCCCUAUAAAGAUGAGUUUUCUAAUCCAAUUAGGAAUACAAUACCUUGGGCAACAGAAAAAAUGUGCAAAAAGAUGGAAAUAUUUUUAUAGAGCAGAUUGGAAAAAAGUUUUAUGAAGCAAGGAGAAAAGAAGUAUAUAUAGAAGAGAGUAAUAGUUUGGGGUAUGUAGAAUGUGGGAAUAAGAAUUUAUGUUUUUAGGAGUUCCCAUUGUGGCUCAAUGAGUUAAGAACCGACUAGUAUCCAUGAGGAUGCAGGUUCAAUCCCUGGCCUUGCUCAGAAGGUUAAGGAUCCAGCAUUUCUGUGGUUGUGGCGAAGGCCAGCAGCUGCAGCUAAGAUUCAACCCCUAGCCUGGGAACUU